GCUAGGGAUGAUAGCAACGUGGUACCACCUGAGCCCAUGCGCUCUUUGUGGCCGCGGCGCUCAGAAGUGAAACGCGUUAGCGCCGCUGGUAAUAGCGUGUGGGUGGUCAUCUCUUUAUGUGAGAGUAGGACAUUGCUAAGC
rnacentral:rRNA from 1 species